UACGUAGGGGGCGAGCGUUGUCCGGAUUUAUUGGGCGUAAAGGGUGCGUAGGCGGGUCUUUAAGUCAGGGGUGAAAUCCUGGAGCUCAACUCCAGAACUGCCUUUGAUACUGAAGAUCUUGAGUUCGGGAGAGGUGAGUGGAACUGCGAGUGUAGAGGUGAAAUUCGUAGAUAUUCGCAAGAACACCAGUGGCGAAGGCGGCUCACUGGCCCGAUACUGACGCUGAGGCACGAAAGCGUGGGGAGCAAACAGG
rnacentral:rRNA from 1 species